rnacentral:rRNA from 1 species
GACGAACGCUGGCGGCGUGCCUAAUACAUGCAAGUUGAGCGCUGAAGGUUGGUACUUGUCCCGACUGGAUGAGCAGCGAACGGGUGAGUAACGCGUGGGUAAUCUGCCUUUGAGCGGGGGACAACAUUUGGAAACGAAUGCUAAUACCGCAUAAAAACUUUAAACACAAGUUUUAAGUUUGAAAGAUGCAAUUGCAUCACUCAAAGAUGAUCCCGCGUUGUAUUAGCUAGUUGGUGAGGUAAAGGCUCACCAAGGCGAUGAUACAUAGCCGACCUGAGAGGGUGGUCGGCCACAAUGGGACUGGGACAAGGCCCAAACUCCUACGGGAGGCAGCAGUAGGGAAACUUCGGCAAUGGACGAAAGUCUGACCGGGCAACGCCGCGUGGGUGAAGAAGGUUUUCGGAUCGUAAAAAUCUGUUGGUAGAGAAGAACGUUGGUGGGAGUGAAAAGCUCAUCAAGUGACGGUAACUACCCAGAAAGGGACGGCUAACUACGUG